rnacentral:rRNA from 1 species
CUGGUUCUCCCCGAAAUAGCUUUAGGGCUAGCCUCGAGGUAGAGAUUGCAGGCGGUAGAGCACUGAUCAGGAGAGGGGCCUACCCGGCUACCAAACCCAGUCAAACUACGAAUGGCUGCAAUUAUACUCGGGAGUCAGACUACGACUUAUAAGGGCCGUGGUCAAAAGGGAAACAGCCCAGAUCAUCAGCUAAGGUCCCAAAUGCCGUGCUAAGUGGCGAAGGAUGUGGCGUUUCAUAAACAACCAGGAUGUUGGCUCAGAAGCAGCCACCAUUUAAAGAGUGCGUAAUAGCUCACUGGUCGAGAGACGCUGCGCCGAAAAUGUCCGGGGCUCAAGCACGGAACCGAAGCUAUGGCAUUGACUAUGUCAAUGGGUAGGGGAGCGUUCUUAACAGGAAGAAGCAUGACCGAAAGGACAUGUGGACCGUUAAGAAGUGAGAAUGCCGGUAUGAGUAUCGAAAAGAAAGGUGAGAAUCCUUUCCACCGAAAGCCCGAGGGUUCCUGAGCAACGAUCGUCGUCUCAGGGUAAGUCGGGACCUAAGCCGAGGCGGAAAAGCGUAGGCGAUGGACAACAGGUUGAAAUUCCUGUACCGGAUACAAUCGUUUGAGCGAUGGAGCGACGCAGAAAGGCAUAUGAUCGCGCGACUGGAAGAGCGCGUCCAAGUGCGUAUGUUGAAUCGGAGGCAAAUCCCUGAUUCUGAAAGCAGAGACACGAUGGGGAGUUAUACGAAAGUAUGACGAACUCAUAGAUCCUACACUGCCAAGAAAAACUUCUAGUGAGAAAGUAUCCGCCCGUACCGUAAACCGACACAGGUAGGCGGGGAGAGAAUCCUAAGGUGCGCGGGAAAACCCUCGUUAAGGAACUCGGCAAAUUGCAUCCGUAACUUAGGGAGAAGGAUGACCUUAAGUAAGCGAAAGGGAGAAACCCCUGGAACAGAACAAGGUGGCAGAAAAGAGGCCCAAGCAACUGUUUACCAAAAACACAGGUGCCUGCGAAAGCGAAAGCUGAAGUAUAGGUGCUGACGCCUGCCCGGUGCUGGAAGGUUAAGGAGAGAUGUCAGAGCAAUCGAAGCAUUGAACUGAAGCCCCAGUGAACGGCGGCCGUAACUAUAACGGUCCUAAGGUAGCGAAAUUCCUUGUCGGGUAAGUUCCGACCCGCAUGAAAGGCGUAAUGAUUUGGGCACUGUCUCAACGAGGGGCCCGGUGAAAUUGAAAUACCUGUGAAGAUGCAGGUUACCCGCGACUGGACAGAAAGACCCCAUGGAGCUUCACUGCAGCUUGAGAUUGAAUCUCGGUGAUGCAUGCACAGGAUAGGUGGGAGACUUUGAAGUAUGGGCUUUGGCUUAUACCGAGUCGAUGUUGGGAUACCACCCUUGUAUUGCUGAGAUUCUAACACGGAGGCUAACAACCUCGUGGACCAUCUCAGGUAGGCGGUUUGACUGGGGCGGUCGCCUCCGAAAGAGU